rnacentral:lncRNA from 1 species
GCGUUAGAGUUGUAGGUAGAGAGAAAUCGAAGACAAUUUAAUUUUUCAAAAGUUUGCCUGUGUUCAGUGGUUGAGACAACGAUUGCUUUUAUCUAUAACUAACACAGCUGUUUCAUAUCUUACACUUUGCAAAAUCCUUUCGUCAACAAAAAAAAAAGGAAAAAAAAACAACAUUUUGCUAAACCCAUAAAAUCUCAGUUAAUACUUAACAAAGGCAACAAUUGUAAAGGUUAAUUCUGAUCUCAAGC